CUCGGAGCAGUCGUCCACAGCCAGACACCAACAUAGCGAGAGCCGCCAUCUUGACAAUCAACGCUGACCUCUGGUAUACUUCCGCUUCCGGGACAGCGCGCGCGCAGCCGUAGUUGUAAUCAGGCGCUCUGAGCCAGAAAUCGAGAGGGAAGGGGGAGAGAGACAGACACCUGCAACACUGCUUCACUCGCAAAGCUUCCCCCCUGCAGGUGGGGACCUCGGGCUCGAACCAGGUCCUUGAGCACUGUAACAUCUGAGCUUAACCAGAAUUUGGAUACUUUCAUGUUGGAAGUGCUCUGAUGAUUACUCUUCUACAAUGUAGAAUCUACAUAAUUGGAAAUUGGGUGGUAGUGCAGCGGGUUAAGCAGACAUGGCACAAAGUCAAGGACCAGCAUAGGGAUCCCGGUUUGAGCCCCUGGCUCCUCACCUGCAGGGGGUCGCUUCACAAGGAGUGAAGCAGGUCUGCAGGUGUCUUUUUCUCUCCCUCUCUGUCUUUCCCUCCUCUCUCCAUUUCUCUGUCCUAUCAAACAACAGCAAUAUCAACAACAACAACAAUAAUAAUAACCACCACAAUGGUAAAACAUCAAAGGUAACAAAAAGGGGGGAAAAAAGUCUCCAGGAGCAGUGGAUUCAUGGUGCAGGCACGGAGCCCCAGCAAAAACCCUGGAGGCAAAAAAAAAAAAAAAAGAAUCUACAUGAUUACUGGUGAACAUAAGAACACAGUUCUCUUUACCUUUAUUAUGUGUCUAAAAGUUUGUUACAUGUGUAUGUAUAUAUAUAUUCAACUUUAGUAUAUACUGACAACUAGUUUUCCAUAGUAGUUGUGCUGGUUGACUCUGUUAUCAGCUGUGUAUAAGAGUUUUAGUUGCAAAUGAUUUGGAAAAAGAAAAAUAUAUUAUAUAUAAAGAAAAUAUGUUAUACUAGCAGCCCAAGGUAGAGAAAGUAUUGAACUCUCAAGCAUGAGGUCUUGAGUUCAAUACCCUGCAUCAA